CCUACGGUAGGCUGCAGUGGGGAAUAUUGGACAAUGGGCGAAAGCCUGAUCCAGCCAUGCCGCGUGUGUGAAGAAGGCCUUCGGGUUGUAAAGCACUUUCAGUGGGGAAGAAAGCCUUGGGGCUAAUACCCUCGAGGAAGGACAUCACCCACAGAAGAAGCACCGGCUAACUCCGUGCCAGCAGCCGCGGUAAUACGGAGGGUGCGAGCGUUAAUCGGAAUUACUGGGCGUAAAGCGCGCGUAGGCGGUCUGAUAAGCCGGUUGUGAAAGCCCCGGGCUCAACCUGGGAACGGCAUCCGGAACUGUCAGGCUAGAGUGCAGGAGAGGAAGGUAGAAUUCCCGGUGUAGCGGUGAAAUGCGGAGAGAUCGGGAGGAAUACCAGUGGCGAAGGCGGCCUUCUGGACUGACACUGACGCUGAGGUGCGAAAGCGUGGGUAGCAAACAGGAUUAGAUACCCCGGUAGUC
rnacentral:rRNA from 1 species